ACCAGACUCCUACGGGAGGCAGCAGUGGGGAAUAUUGCACAAUGGGGGAAACCCUGAUGCAGCAACGCCGCGUGAGUGAGGAAGUAUUUCGGUAUGUAAAGCUCUAUCAGCAGGGAGUAGAAAAGAAGGUACCUGAAAAAGAAGCCCCGGCUAACUACGUGCCGGCAGCCGCGGUAAUACGUAGGGGGCAAGCGUUAUCCGGAUUUACUGGGUGUAAAGGGGGCGCAGACGGCAGCGCAAGCCAGGAGUGAAAGCCCGGGGCCCAACCCCGGGACUGCUCUUGGAACUGCGCGGCUGGAGUGCAGGAGGGGCAGGCGGAAUUCCUGGUGUAGCGGUGAAAUGCGUAGAUAUCAGGAGGAACACCGGCGGCGAAGGCGGCCUGCUGGACCGUGACUGACGUUGAGGCUCGAGAGCGUGGGGAGCAAACAGGAUUAGAUACCCCUGUAAC
rnacentral:rRNA from 1 species